GGAGUUCCCGUCAUGGUGCAGCGGAAAGGAAUCUAACUAGGAACCAUGAGGUUGUGGGUUCGAUCCCUGGUCUUGCUCAGUGGGUUAAGGAUCCGGCAUUGCUGUGAGCUGUGGUGCAGGUCGCAGAUGUGGUUUGGAUCUGGUGUGGCUGUGGCUGUGGCGUAGGCCAGCAGCUGUAGCUCCAAUUCGCCCCCGAGCCUGGGACUCUCCAAGGGAAUGGCCCUAAAAAAAACAAAAACGAAAAAACCCACAUGUGGACAGACUGGGACCCAAACCAGGGAUUUGUCCUCUGCAGCCAUGGAGGGGACAGACUAAGACUAUUUGUCAAAGAAAGGAACCUCUUGACCCAACCAUGAAAGAUGACAGAAGUGGGGACACAGGUAAGCGGGCACAGGGCGACAGAACCAAAACCUCCUAUCCAUGUUAUCAUGGCUACACCUUAAUGGCUAAUUUCCCCAUCUAGAACCCUGCACGAAAAAGGCGAAGAUUUGGAAAACAAUGCCCCUAGUUUACCAACCUGAAAGAUACUGGAAAAAGAAGCUUGGCUGCAGGGUGAAAUAAUAUUCUACUUAAGUUAUAACUUAAAUAAAUAUUCUUUGAGGGGGAAAAAUAGCCCUGUAACUCCCUAUUUUCCAUAUGCUCUUAUGCUCUUCCUCAUGCAGGACGGAGUUUCUAUUAGGAAGUCAGUCUUCCUGAGAUAGCAGAAAAAGUACAGGGUUUGCGGCGAGCAGUUUACAAUCCUGGCUCUGCUAAAUAUUGCAGAAUAUAUAACAAAAUAUUGUGCAAGGAACCAGUAACUAACCUCCGACCUUCAGUUUCCCAGUUUGUGAAAUGGAGAUAAUAAACCUGUCUGGAAAGACUAUUGAAAAAAAUGAAAAAUUAAAUUACGACUUGAAAAGAACCUAACCUAAGACCUACCAUUCAGCAGAGACUCAAUAAACAAUUAUUUCUUCCCCUCUUCCCACAAUCUCCAUUCUAUUGCCAACAGUCAAGGUCAAAACUCACUUGAUUACAUAAGCAAAUACAUGGCUGGUUAAGAAAAAUUAUCUUACAGGUCCAUUUCAACACUGGAAGUAUAUUCACUACUAGACGAAGGUAUUUUAAGAGCUUAUGUUGUGUAUACCCAUGUCAGGUAUACUAUGUUGUGUAUACCCAAGUUAUGUAUACUCAAGGUUGUGUAUACUAUGUUGUGUAUACCCAAGUUAUGUAUACUCAAGGUUGUGUAUACGAUGUGGUGCAUAUCCAAAGUUGUGUAUACCAUGGGAUGCAUAUCCAUAGUAUACCCAUGUUGUGUAUAUCGUGUUGUAUAUACUAUGUUGUAUAUACAUCUUUACACAGGUGGCCCUGUUUGGCACUUUAGUAGACUUGCUCUCCAACCAUAUUCCAGUGGGAUGAACAUAGACUCUUCCAAAGAAAGCAGUCAUCCUAAGGCAAAAAGCACAUGCUUUCAAAUGUGGUCAAAAAACAGUCGAGGAGUCAAGAAAAGAGGAAAAUCUUAAGUAGACCACCUGGUCUCCUGGUCUGAGGUCAGUGUCCUCGGGUAUAGGGGACAAAACAACAAGAGAACUGCUUGACUGACAUGGGUGUUCCUGGGAGCACAAUACAUCACCACUUCCUUUGGAGCCUACAAAGCGGAAUAUAAUCACCGGAAGUGAAGCAUUCAGUCUAGUAGCUAAAGAUAAGAGAUCCACCCUGGGUGAUGGACAGAAGAAGCUCCCAGUAGGUGGCCCACACUUUGAAAAGGAAAGAGACAGCUAAGGCUGCCUUGCACCUGGAAGCAGGGAUGAUGAUGCCAGAGACGUGGAGGGAAGAGAGUCUGUGAACACACCCUGCACCAGUGGGGCACCGCCAGGACAGCCACAAGGACUUGCAGAGCAGAUGUGGAGGAGAUAGAGCAUAACAAGCACCAUCGUGUUGGUAUUUUCAUCCUAGCAGAACCUGGUGAAGCAAAAAUUACAUGCCUUUAGACUAGUGUCAUCUCCAACUAGGUGCUUAGUAAGAGGGAAGUGAAGAACAGAGGAAUAUUGGAAGGGAACCAACAUUUUCUGUGCAGUUAUAAGCAGUUUAAGCAGUGAGUGAGACUUUUUCUCAUUUAAUUCCACAUAAUUUUAUUUUAAAGAACAGAAUAUCAAUUUUAUCUGAUUAGAUAUACUUCUACAAUAAAGGUUUUUGAACGAAAGCAGAUUUAAUUUUGAUUCACAGGCUGCAUUCUUUGCAUGUCAUCACCCCAAAGAUAAAUUACCCCAGAAUUCACAACAAGUAUUUUUAUUGAUUUAUUUGGAAAAGAUACCUAUCGUACACCAGUUCUAAAGCAGCUCUCAAAGACCCUUUCAGAGCAUCUGAGAGGUCAAAACUAUCUUCAUAAUAAUACUGUCUCUUCACGCUCAUCAUCUAGUGAGUGGACAGAGGAGUCUUCCAGAGGCCACAUCAUAUGUGGGUUCACAAAAGACUGAAAACAUUUAGUAGAUAUAAGAACUCAAUUGUUGGAGUUCCCGCUGUGGUGCAGUGGUUAACCAAUCCAAAUGGGAACCUUGAGGUUGUGGGUUCGAUCCCUAGCCUUGCUCAGUGGGUUAAGGAUCCAGCAUUGCCGGGAGCUAUUGGUGUAGAUUGCAGACACAGCUCGGAUCCCGAGUUGCUGUGGCUGUGGUGUAGACCCGCGGCUACAGUUCCUAUUGGACCCCUAGCCUGGGAACCUCCAUAUGCCGCAGGAGCGGCUCAAGAAAAGGCAAAAAGGCAAAAAAAACCCCAAAAACAAACAAACAAAAAAAAACAAAACUCAAUUGUUGUCUAGUAAGCUAGACACCAAACGGAUUUGCAAAAUCAUAAAGCAAAGUCAAUUUUUCUAAUUAUUUUUGGUUUUUGAAAAAUAAAUUUUCGGAAAUGUAUUUUAUUAACAUUUAAUGGAUUGAUUUAAAGAAAUUAAUAAAAAGUAUAAAUUUCUCAGUUUUAAAUUCUAACAUGAUACAAAUUGAUAGACAUAAGUUAUACAAAAAAGUAUCUUUGGGCCCCUGAAUAAUUUUGAAGAGGAUAAAGGGAUCCUGAGGACAAAAAGUUUGAGACUUGCUGGUGUACAUCACAGUUUAUCUUUCUCUGCUCUUCAAAAAUUCCAGGAGACCAAGCAGUGGUACAACUGCCGCAGUCAUGCUGACCUGGCCUGGGCUGAUCUGAAAUUCAUUGUUCUGCAAAGAGCAAGGAACACAUAGCCUUUGCUCUUUCGCUCUUUCCGACCAAGUUGUACUUCUUUCUGAGUUACGGAGAAAGCAUUUUUAAAGUUUACAUGUGUUUAGAUUUGGAGACAGCUAUAUUCUUGCUAUUUCGGUUCUGGGCUUUUGGUGCUUGUAGUAAUUGAGAUUUUCUUUGGCCUAAUGCAUGAUCAACUUUCCUAAUUCUGAUCAUGUAAACGAAUGAAUGAACUCCUAAAUGGUCCUUAUUCAAAGCCAUCUCUUCUUUCGCUAUAGAUGCAAUGUUCACCAAAGCUCACUGAGAAGAGGAAAGAAACCCCUUUUAAAGUUUUCUCCUAUUUUCUCAGUUGCUUUGCGUGAGUCCUGGACUCUGAGGGCUGCCAAGUCUCUUCACAGGUAAAAACACUUUUUAAAAAUGUUGGCGUGGAUUGUCUGGUAUUGAUAUGCCCUUAUAAUCCAGGUAAGUCACUGUUCAGUGUUCCUACACUGUCCUCAGAGAGACGCCCUGUGGAUGAAGAAAGUUAGCCAGUGUAUUUCAGUCUGAGGGAUGGAAAAGCCAAAAAGUUUUAAUAAAACUCAUCACUCAGCUCACUGUGCAACAGACCACAUGAAACGUUACUGCUUAGAGUUUGUAUUUCCCAACAGAACACAGGGGUAUUAGUGUCAGUACAUUUCCCGCCCCCCCCCCUUUUUUUUGCUUUUUAGGGCCACACCUGCAGCAUAUGGAAGUUCUCCAGCUAGGGGUCCAAUUGGAGCUACAGCAGCCAGCCUAUACCACAGCCACAGCAACAUCAGAUCCUCAGCCAAAUAAGCGGGACCCAAUAGUGAACCUCCAUCCUCAUGGAUACUAAUCGGGUUCAUUUCCACCGAGGCAUGACAAAAUAUCUCCAGUGUUAAGCUCUUCUUCUACAGGUGGAAAGUUGUGUAGAGACUGAUCAGUCAAAAAGAGUGCUCAUAUGAAUAUAUGGCCAGAACCUUUUAAAGAAAAUAGAAUGCUUCAGGGAAAGUAAACUUCCAAAUGUGUAUUCUGGAUGAAAAACAUCUCCCCCUCCAUCAUAUGUCCACUCUCGUCCCUUAUGUACUCAGUUCUCCAAGGACACCAAACUCCUAGACCCACUCCAGUUCCACUCCCUUUCCUACCAACCAGACCCCAAGGGAUAUAUCAUUUAAUUCCAUAUAAUUUCAAUCCUUCUAUUACCAGCAUCAUCACCUCCUUGGCUUUCUGUCUUGGUGUUCACCUGCUCAGCAGAAUGCAACAUAGAGUUGCACUGUGUCGCACUUUCACCACGCAAUUUUCUGCCCUAAACCAGGAAGGCACAAGGCCAAGCAGGCUCUGAAACAAUACUGUCUGCACCCGAACAUCGGCCCUGCUACUUAUGAAUGGCUGGGCACCGAGCAAUGUAUUUAACGUCCCAGUCCAAUCCGCAAAGUGGGCAUGGUAAUAGCAGGUGCUUAUCUGAUAGCAUUGCCGUGAGGACAGAGUGAGGCACCACCCAGAAGGGGCCUGGCACAAAGCGAGCCGUCAACAAAUGUUUGCGGUUUGCAUUUGCUAUAACUCCUGGCUGCAAAGCUGUGAUGGAGGAACACGUGGAACUCUGUGGAUGAGAGUUUCGAUGCGUGCAUGGUGCCUGGUUUACCCUUAAAACUUGCAUGGGACCCUGGAGCCCUAUCACACGGUCCAGAUUCAUUCCUCAGCUCUCUCAAACCUCCCUCUCUCUGCUCAAGCCCUAACCCUCCCCGUGUGCUCUUCCUCAACUGAUAACCUUGCUGCCGAGAUCACAGAGAAAACAGAAGCCACAUCCUGCUCUCAACCCCAAAUCCUCAUGAACAGCAUGUGUUCCCCUUUCAGAGGAACGGCUUCCCUCCUCCUCCAAGAACCCAUUCUCCUGUCUUCAUCCUUCCUGCUCCAGCAAUCGCAACUUCUACUUCCCAAUCGUUCGUUUCUUUCUACUUCCCCUCAGCCCAAGACCUACUUGGAGCUCUCCAUCUUCCAACAAAGUAACACAAAGCCCUCCUCUGGCUCCAUUCACCUCCAGCUACACUGUAUUUCUCCCUUCACAGCCACGUUGCUAGGAAAAAAUGUCUACACUUGUUAUCUCCAUUAUCCAGGUUUUCAAUAUUUUAUUUUAUUUUUAUUUGUUGUCUUUUUAGGGCCAUACCCACGGCAUGUGGAGGUUCCCAGAAAAGGCAAAAAUAAGUAAAUAAAUAAAUGAAGUGACUACAAAAUGAACAUUACACUAAAUUAGCAAAAUGAAUUAAUGAAUUAGUUUUCUUCAUUCCCAAACUCCUUUACCCUAAACAAAC
rnacentral:lncRNA from 1 species